CCUACGGGUGGCAGCAGUGAGGAAUAUUGGUCAAUGGACGGAAGUCUGAACCAGCCAUGCCGCGUGCAUGAAGACGGCUCUAUGAGUUGUAAACUGCUUUUGUACAAGGGUAAACCUGAAUACGUGUAUUCAGCUGACAGUACUGUACGAAUAAGGAUCGGCUAACUCAGUGCUGGCAGCCGCGGUAAUACGGAGGAACCAAGCGUUAUCCGGAUUUAUUGGGUUUAAAGGGUGCGUAGGCGGAUUGAUAAGUUAGAGGUGAAAUGUCCGAGCUUAACUCGGGAACUGCCUUUAAUCCUGGUGAUCUAGAGAGUAGAUGAGGUAGGCGGAAUGUAUGGUGUAGCGGUGAAAUGCUUAGAGAUCAUACAGAACACCGAUUGCGAAGGCAGCUUACUAAUCUAUAUCUGACGUUGAGGCACGAAAGCGUGGGGAGCAAACAGGAUUAGAUACCCUGGUAGUC
rnacentral:rRNA from 1 species